rnacentral:rRNA from 1 species
GCAGUCGAGCGGUAACAGGAAUUAGCUUGCUAAUUUGCUGACGAGCGGCGGACGGGUGAGUAACGCGUAGGAAUCUGCCUGGUAGUGGGGGACAACAUGUGGAAACGCAUGCUAAUACCGCAUACGCCCUACGGGGGAAAGGAGGGGAUCUUCGGACCUUUCGCUAUCAGAUGAGCCUGCGUGAGAUUAGCUAGUUGGUGGGGUAAAGGCUCACCAAGGCGACGAUCUCUAGCUGGUCUGAGAGGAUGAUCAGCCACACUGGGACUGAGACACGGCCCAGACUCCUACGGGAGGCAGCAGUGGGGAAUAUUGGACAAUGGGCGCAAGCCUGAUCCAGCCAUGCCGCGUGUGUGAAGAAGGCCUUAGGGUUGUAAAGCACUUUCAGGAGUGAGGAAGGGUGUACGGUUAAUACCUGUAUAUCUUGACGUUAGCUUCAGAAGAAGCACCGGCUAACUCUGUGCCAGCAGCCGCGGUAAUACAGAGGGUGCGAGCGUUAAUCGGAAUUACUGGGCGUAAAGCGCGCGUAGGCGGUUUGUUAAGUCGGAUGUGAAAUCCCAGGGCUCAACCUUGGAAUUGCACCCGAUACUGGCAAGCUAGAGUACGGUAGAGGGGUGUGGAAUUUCCUGUGUAGCGGUGAAAUGCGUAGAUAUAGGAAGGAACAUCAGUGGCGAAGGCGACACCCUGGACCGAUACUGACACUGA